UACGUAGGGGGCAAGCGUUGUCCGGAUUCAUUGGGCGUAAAGAGCGUGUAGGCGGCCAGGCAGGUCCGCUGUGAAAACUCGAGGCUCAACCUCGAGCUGUCGGCGGAAACCAUCUGGCUAGAGUCCGGAAGAGGAGAAUGGAAUUCCCGGUGUAGCGGUGAAAUGCGCAGAUAUCGGGAAGAACACCCGUGGCGAAGGCGGUUCU
rnacentral:rRNA from 1 species